rnacentral:rRNA from 1 species
UACGUAGGGUGCGAGCGUUAAUCGGAAUUACUGGGCGUAAAGCGUGCGCAGGCGGUUGUGUAAGACAGAUGUGAAAUCCCCGGGCUCAACCUGGGAACUGCAUUUGUGACUGCACAGCUGGAGUGCGGCAGAGGGGGAUGGAAUUCCGCGUGUAGCAGUGAAAUGCGUAGAUAUGCGGAGGAACACCGAUGGCGAAGGCAAUCCCCUGGGCCUGCACUGACGCUCAUGCACGAAAGCGUGGGGAGCAAACAGG